rnacentral:rRNA from 1 species
UACAGAGGGUGCGAGCGUUGUUCGGAAUUACUGGGCGUAAAGCGCGCGCAGGCGGCCUUUUAAGUCUGCUGGUGAAAUGCCGGGGCUCAACCCCGUGCCCGCCACAGAUACUGGGAGGCUGGAGACGAGUAGAGGCAAGCGGAAUUCCGGGUGUAGCGGUGGAAUGCGUAGAGAUCCGGAAGAACACCGGUGGCGAAGGCGGGUCUCUGGGCAGUAACUGACGCUGAGGAGCGAAAGCGUGGGUAGCAAACAGG